GUUUUAGAGAAAAUGUGUCAUUCGAGUUCAUGAAAUGCAACUGUGAGUAUGCAUUUUAGGUAACCAACUUUUACAAUGCUGUAUCUCGUUCAACUAACUGAAGUACUGCCAACACGGGCAUUACUUAAAAACCAGGGGGUUCAUCUGUAUCAUUGACUCAACAUCUGCCAUAUAGAUUAACAAGGAAGUCCCUCCAAUUUUAAUUUAGAAUGUUUGUAAUUAAAGUUACUGUUGUACUUUCUUCCCUUCUGUUUUCCCCUGAAGCCAGCUUCCUCUCCUCAACCUGGAGAGAAUCUUUCUUAGUUGAAUAAUUCCACUUCUCUGUGAAUCCUUUCUUUCUGAGGUCUCCUGGAGAGAGCCAAGUACUUGCAUUGCCCUGAUUGUUAUUUAAUGGUUCUCAAUUUCUCUGGGACUCAGUAGGAUUCUCUCUGGGGUUGGUAGGCAGAUAUGCGGAGGUUUUCAAAUGAUUGCCACUAGUAACUCUACUAUGGGAGAGUGUUUUUUUUUUUUUAAUAGAAGCUAAGGGAUUAUUUGCUACCAAAAUAACAUGGUUAAUGUGUCACUGAUGAGUGGAAUCCUAAUAAGUAUUUAAUACUCUGAGUGUCUUCCAUACAGGUUCAUUCCUUCUCAGCACUUUCUGUUCAGAGUACCUCUUGUGAUUUGAUAACCUUUGAACACUUUUAUCUUUGAAACAGAACCUGUUAAUAUUAAUGAAGAAAGUGAGGGAAUUGACCAAAACACCCAAAUUAGGAAUCAAGGAAUUAUAGCUUUGAGCUACCGUGACUGGGAGGUAAAACUCUGCACAUUGCCCCAGGGUAGUUCUGUCUCCCUUGUUAUUUGCUGUAAACCUAAUGCCCAAAUGUCUUUGUUCUCUGCCAGGAGAUCGUGAAGACCUUCGAGAUAUCAGAGCCUGUGAUUGCUUCAGGCCAGAGUCAGCAGAGGCUAAGCGCUUGACGCCAGCAAAGGACUCAGAUGGAUAGCGAAAUCCAAAAAGGGAAGCAGCAUGUAUUGUAUAUAUUGUAUGAUUAAACAUUUUUAAAGACAGAUUGUUUUUAGUAAAAUGUAGCUUUUGAUAGUUAUGAAUUUGUCAUGGUUGUCUUUGAUUAAAGGAAAUUCACUGCCAUAUUCACAAAC
rnacentral:lncRNA from 1 species